rnacentral:rRNA from 1 species
GACUCUGGUAUUGAUUGGUGCUUGCAUCAUGAUUUACAUUUGAGUGAGUGGCGAACUGGUGAGUAACACGUGGGAAACCUGCCCAGAAGCGGGGGAUAACACCUGGAAACAGAUGCUAAUACCGCAUAACAACUUGGACCGCAUGGUCCGAGCUUGAAAGAUGGCUUCGGCUAUCACUUUUGGAUGGUCCCGCGGCGUAUUAGCUAGAUGGUGGGGUAACGGCUCACCAUGGCAAUGAUACGUAGCCGACCUGAGAGGGUAAUCGGCCACAUUGGGACUGAGACACGGCCCAAACUCCUACGGGAGGCAGCAGUAGGGAAUCUUCCACAAUGGACGAAAGUCUGAUGGAGCAACGCCGCGUGAGUGAAGAAGGGUUUCGGCUCGUAAAACUCUGUUGUUAAAGAAGAACAUAUCUGAGAGUAACUGUUCAGGUAUUGACGGUAUUUAACCAGAAAGCCACGGCUAACUACGUGCCAGCAGCCGCGGUAAUACGUAGGUGGCAAGCGUUGUCCGGAUUUAUUGGGCGUAAAGCGAGCGCAGGCGGUUUUUUAAGUCUGAUGUGAAAGCCUUCGGCUCAACCGAAGAAGUGCAUCGGAAACUGGGAAACUUGAGUGCAGAAGAGGACAGUGGAACUCCAUGUGUAGCGGUGAAAUGCGUAGAUAUAUGGAAGAACACCAGUGGCGAAGGCGGCUGUCUGGUCUGUAACUGACGCUGAGGCUCGAAAGUAUGGGUAGCAAACAGGAUUAGAUACCCUGGUAGUCCAUACCGUAAACGAUGAAUGCUAAGUGUUGGAGGGUUUCCGCCCUUCAGUGCUGCAGCUAACGCAUUAAGCAUUCCGCCUGGGGAGUACGGCCGCAAGGCUGAAACUCAAAGGAAUUGACGGGGGCCCGCACAAGCGGUGGAGCAUGUGGUUUAAUUCGAAGCUACGCGAAGAACCUUACCAGGUCUUGACAUACUAUGCAAAUCUAAGAGAUUAGACGUUCCCUUCGGGGACAUGGAUACAGGUGGUGCAUGGUUGUCGUCAGCUCGUGUCGUGAGAUGUUGGGUUAAGUCCCGCAACGAGCGCAACCCUUAUUAUCAGUUGCCAGCAUUAAGUUGGGCACUCUGGUGAGACUGCCGGUGACAAACCGGAGGAAGGUGGGGAUGACGUCAAAUCAUCAUGCCCCUUAUGACCUGGGCUACACACGUGCUACAAUGGAUGGUACAACGAGUUGCGAACUCGCGAGAGUAAGCUAAUCUCUUAAAGCCAUUCUCAGUUCGGAUUGUAGGCUGCAACUCGCCUACAUGAAGUCGGAAUCGCUAGUAAUCGCGGAUCAGCAUGCCGCGGUGAAUACGUUCCCGGGCCUUGUACACACCGCCCGUCACACCAUGAGAGUUUGUAACACCCAAAGUCGGUGGGGUAACCUUUUAGGAACCAGCC